UACGUAGGGUCCGAGCGUUGUCCGGAAUUAUUGGGCGUAAAGGGCUCGUAGGCGGUUCGUCACGUCGGGAGUGAAAACUCGGAGCUCAACUCCGAGCCUGCUUCCGAUACGGGCAGACUAGAGGUAGGCAGGGGGAGAGCGGAACUCCUGGUGUAGCGGUGGAAUGCGCAGAUAUCAGGAAGAACACCAGUGGCGAAGGCGGCUCACUGGACCGGUACUGACGCUGAGGCGCGAAAAGCGUGGGGGAGCAAACAGG
rnacentral:rRNA from 1 species